CAAUAGCGUAUAUUAAAGUUGUUGCAGUUAAAAAGCUCGUAGUUGGAUUUCUGUUUUGGAUGUCCGGUCAGCUCCCUCUGGGAGUGCGUACUUAUGGAUGUUCGAGGCAUUUUUUGUGAGGUCGCUUUUCUGCCAUUAAGUUGGUGGUUUUGCGGGCUUGCAUCGUUUACUGUGAAAAAAUUAGAGUGUUUAAAGCAGGCGUUUGCUCAUUUGAAUACAUUAGCAUGGAAUAAUAAGAUACGGCCUUGGUGGUCUAUUUUGUUGGUUUGCACACCAGGGUAAUGAUUAAUAGGGACAGUUGGGGGUAUUCAUAUUUCAGCGUCAGAGGUGAAAUUCUUGGAUCGCUGAAAGAUGAGCUUAGGCGAAAGCAUUUACCAAGGAUGUUUUCAUUAA
rnacentral:rRNA from 1 species